GUCCUCCACUCUGGGCUGGAUUUGCGCUUCUCUGGUGGCACACAGACGAGACCCUAGUUUCAACCUCACUAAGCCGCCUAGGCUAUAUUGCCCUCAGGAGACUUGGCGUCCCAACCACGACCUACAACCCCCCCUUACAGGUUGGGAAAGCUGGUUUUUCUGUGUGAGAGAGAGAAGGGGGAGAGAAAGAGAUGGAGGUCUGUGUGCCAGGAGCCAGACUCACGCUUAGCACUGUGCAUCACAGAUCCUCACCAUAGAGCUAUGCUGCACAUCAGGGUACAGAAAAGAUGCACCACUUGGCUGGGAACAUGCCAAGGAGUGGAGAAUCUAUUUAACUGCCUUAUUCAGCAUCACCAAGAAGCCCCUAGAUUAGACCUUCAGAACUCUUCCCUCAAAACAUUGUAAUUAUAGAACUGGAGAUAUGGCUCAGUCAGCAAAGUGCUUGUGUCACAAGAAUGAGGAACUGAGUUUGGAUCUAGCACCACAUCAAAAAUAGGCAUGGGAGGGGCUGGAGAGAUGGCUCAGAGGUUAAGAGCACUGACUGCUGUUCCAGAGGUUCUGGGUUCAAUUCC